UACGUAGGUGGCAAGCGUUGUCCGGAAUUAUUGGGCGUAAAGCGCGCGCAGGCGGUCCUUUAAGUCUGAUGUGAAAGCCCACGGCUCAACCGUGGAGGGUCAUUGGAAACUGGGGGACUUGAGUGCAGGAGAGAAGAGUGGAAUUCCACGUGUAGCGGUGAAAUGCGUAGAGAUGUGGAGGAACACCAGUGGCGAAGGCGGCUCUCUGGUCUGUUACUGACGCUGAGGCGCGAAAGACGUGGGGAGCGAAACAGG
rnacentral:rRNA from 1 species